rnacentral:rRNA from 1 species
CGCGUAGGCGGCUUCGGAAGUCAUGGGUGAAAGCCCCGGGCUCAACUCGGGAAUGGCCUGUGAAACCACGGAGCUGGAGUGCUGGAGAGGGAAGCGGGAUUCCCAGUGUAGCGGUGAAAUGCGUAGAUAUUGGGAGGAACAUCUGUGGCGAAGGCGGCUUCCUGGACAGACACUGACGCUGAGGCGCGAAAGCCAGGGGAGCAAACG